rnacentral:lncRNA from 1 species
AUUAAUUAAAGAAUGAAUUAAUUAAUUGCUUGGGCCUACAAACAUACGUGGCAUGUGCUCAUUGGGCCUGCACCAUAAUAGGUGCGGUGACCCCUGCACCUGAGCCGAACCCCUUGACUGGUAAUGUACCGAAUACAACAAUUUGAACUGUUAGUAACAAACAUAAACUACUCCCAACGGCCAACAACCAUACAUAAACAACAACGGCAAAAACAUUGCAUUAGCAACAGCAGAAGAUAAAGAAAAGACGAUCUUUAAUUAGCAGCAGCAUUAUCUCUAUUACUUUGUACUAUGUAGGAACAACAAACUCUUUGUAGCAUCAUCAUCAUUAUCUCUAAGCAGUAGUGCUAUCCCUUUAAUGAUUCCAUGCAUCAUCAAGGCACUGAACAUCCGGCGUGGGAGGAACUGAUCAGCAGGACAAAACCAACAAAACCGAUCAACAUUGAAGAUCACACAAUAAUCAAAGGAUGAAAAGAGAAAAAUAACUACGAAGGAAAGGAGAUAUACAAGACGGAAUCGACCACUCUACCCCAACGAAGUAUACCAGACCGCCAUCUAGAGGCCAAUGAGACAUGCAUGCCAUCUACAGAAGUGUAAAAGAACCAAAAAAACGCUGAUUACAAACCAAACACUGAGUGAAAUCACAAAUAUGAGGCACACUCACCACCACAAGAAACUAUUUGACACAGCGAAUCUCCCACUCGCCGUCAGCGAGAUUCCUCAAGAUCCAAAUUACAUGAUGGAAUCAUAGUACCUGCAAAUUUCACAAAUAAAACAAAGAAUCACGAAAUAAAAAAACACAGAAAUCAGAUUUAGAGAGGAAAAGGAACAAGAACGUAUGUACCUGAAGCGAUGGAACCAACAGACGGUGACACGGACAACGGAUGCCGAGUUGCCGACCAACCGGCCGCCGGUGAGACGCACCACCGAAAGAACCACGAAGAACCAACGCAGGCGGAGCGCCACAUCCCCGGAAGAACGAACCGACGGCGGCCGAUCCCGGGCGCGAGGUGGAUGAGCGAGAGGCAUGGGACAAAUCGAGGCGCUGACCGGAGGUACGCCGGCGGGGCCCGACGGGUUGGACAGGCUCCAGAUCAAGAACACAGGGAAGGCUGCAGCGCCCUGAAUUCCGUCUUCUCCGCCAUUACUUCCUCUGGGUCUCUCAUGGCAAGCGGUGUCGGCAGGGCAGAUGGGAGCACGAGGGGGAGAGGCAGGUGCGGACGCCGCGGGGACUGAAAGAUUCACACACAGGAAGGGGAUUUUAUAGGAGAAUACGGCGGCGAAGCGGUGGCACAGUUGACG